CCUACGGGGGGCAGCAGUGGGGAAUAUUGCACAAUGGGGGAAACCCUGAUGCAGCGACGCCGCGUGAGCGAAGAAGUACCUCGGUAUGUAAAGCUCUAUCAGCAGGGAAGAAAGUGACAGUACCUGACUAAGAAGCCCCGGCUAACUACGUGCCAGCAGCCGCGGUAAUACGUAGGGGGCAAGCGUUAUCCGGAUUCACUGGGCGUAAAGGGAGCGCAGGCGGCGCGGCAAGUCUGAUGUGAAAGCCCGGGGCUCAACCCCGGGUCUGCAUUGGAAACUGUCGAGCUAGAGUGUCGGAGGGGUAA
rnacentral:rRNA from 1 species